CCUACGGGAGGCAGCAGUGGGGAAUAUUGCACAAUGGGGGAAACCCUGAUGCAGCGACGCCGCGUGAGUGAAGGAGGAAUUCGUUAUUGAAAGCUCUUUCAGUAGGGAAGAAAAUGACGGUACCUGAGUCAGAAGCCGCGGAUAACUACGUGCCAGCACCCGCGGUAAUACGGAGGGGGCAAGCGUUAUCCGGAUUUACUGGGCGUAAAGGGGGCGUAGUCGGCGGGGGAAGCCUGGUGUGAAAGUGGGGGGCUCAACCCGCGGCCUGCGCUGGAUACUGGAAGGCUGGAGUGCAGGAGAGGGAAGUGGAAUUCGUGGUGUAGCGGUGAAAUGCGUAGAUAUUAGGAGGAACACCAGUGGCGAAGGCGGCUUACUGGACUGUAACUGACGUUGAGGCUCGAAAGCGUGGGGAGCAAACAGGAUUAGAUACCCCGGUAGUC
rnacentral:rRNA from 1 species